GAUGAACGCUAGCGGCAGGCUUAAUACACGCAAGUCGAGGGGCAGCAGGACGGUAGCAAUACCGUUGCUGGCGACCGGCAAACGGGUGCGGAACACGUACGCAACUUACCCAUAACUGAUGAAUAGCCCUCCGAAAGGAGGAUUAAUACGUCGUAAUACUUAUUGGUGGCAUCACCGAAAAGUUAUAGCUCCGGCGGUUAUGGAUGGGCGUGCGGCUGAUUAGGUAGUUGGUUGAGGUAACGGCGCACCAAGCCUGCGAUCAGUAACUGGUGUGAGAGCACGACCAGUCUCACGGGCACUGAGACACGGGCCCGACUCCUACGGGAGGCAGCAGUAAGGAAUAUUGGUCAAUGGACGCAAGUCUGAACCAGCCAUGCCGCGUGAAGGAUGAAGGUCCUCUGGAUUGUAAACUCCUUUUACAGGGGAAGAAACCCGGGAAUUCUUUUUCGGUUGACGGUACCCUGGGAAUAAGCACCGGCUAACUCCGUGCCAGCCGCCGCAGUAACAC
rnacentral:rRNA from 1 species